UGCAGUCGAACGGAGUUAUGAUGUGAGCGGGAAGUGCUUGCACUAAACAAUCUUUUCAUAACUUAGUGGCGGACGGGUGAGUAACGCGUGGGUAACCUGCCCUGUACUGGGGGACAACAGUUGGAAACGACUGCUAAUACCGCAUAAGCGCACGGGAUCGCAUGAUCCAGUGUGAAAAACUCCGGUGGUACAGGAUGGACCCGCGUCUGAUUAGCUGGUUGGUGAGGUAACGGCCCACCAAGGCAACGAUCAGUAGCCGGCCUGAGAGGGUGAACGGCCACAUUGGGACUGAGACACGGCCCAAACUCCUACGGGAGGCAGCAGUGGGGAAUAUUGCACAAUGGGGGAAACCCUGAUGCAGCGACGCCGCGUGAGUGAAGAAGUAUUUCGGUAUGUAAAGCUCUAUCAGCAGGGAAGAAAAUGACGGUACCUGACUAAGAAGCCCCGGCUAACUACGUGCCAGCAGCCGCGGUAAUACGUAGGGGGCAAGCGUUAUCCGGAUUUACUGGGUGUAAAGGGAGCGUAGACGGCAUGGCAAGUCUGAAGUGAAAUGCGGGGGCUCAACCCCUGAACUGCUUUGGAAACUGUCAGGCUGGA
rnacentral:rRNA from 1 species